rnacentral:rRNA from 1 species
GACGAACGCUGGCGGCGUGCUUAACACAUGCAAGUCGAACGGUGAAGCGCCUUCCUUUUUGGUGGGUGUGGAUGAGUGGCGAACGGGUGAGUAACGCGUGAGUAACCUGCCCCCUUCUUCUGGAUAACCGCAUGAAAGUGUGGCUAAUACGGGAUAUUCUGGGUCUGUCGCAUGAUGGGUCUGGGAAAGAUAUUGUUUCGGUGGGGGAUGGGCUCGCGGCCUAUCAGCUUGUUGGUGGGGUGAUGGCCUACCAAGGCGGUGACGGGUAGCCGGCCUGAGAGGGUGGACGGUCACACUGGGACUGAGACACGGCCCAGACUCCUACGGGAGGCAGCAGUGGGGAAUAUUGCACAAUGGGCGCAAGCCUGAUGCAGCGACGCCGCGUGAGGGAUGGAGGCCUUCGGGUUGUGAACCUCUUUCGCCAGUGAAGCAGGCCUGCCUCGUUUGUGGGUGGGUUGACGGUAGCUGGAUAAGAAGCGCCGGCUAACUACGU